AAUAUACCUUCAAUAUUUCUGGUAAAUUCUAAUAGAAAUAUUUGAUAAAUAUUUACUUGUACUGAUCUGUUUUAGAAACUAAAAUUAUUAAGUAUUUCCAACCAAUUUUCCUAAAUAAAGUUCCAGCUUAAUAAAUGACAGUUUAAAUAAAUUGAGUAAAUUUCGCGGCUAAAGUGAUCACGUGUGAAGCUCCGCAGGAAAAAAAAAAAAUCUGCUUUCCUCAGCAGCGACGUCGACUGGCCAUACACCUCACAGCUCCUGGUAAGUAAGGUUAGUCAGCUAAUCCUACUUACGUUUGUAACACUUUAUUAAAAAGUUAAUAAUUAUUAAGCAUUUUCUAACAAUUGUCUUUGUAUUUUACGUCAUAUUCAACAAGUUUCGUAGCUUAAUCGAAGUCACCUGAAGGACGGCUUUCCUCAGCAACGGCAAGACCCGCACUCCUCUCAUUUCGUGAAGUUUAACAAGUUUCGCGGCUCAAACAAGAAGCACCUGUCACUGAAGGACUGCUUUUCUCAGCAACGACGUGAACAGCAUUACUCGAAUUUCCUGGUUCAGCUGAUCUACCCGUCUUCGUACACGCAGAGUUGGCAGAGGAGGUCAUAAAAAUCUACAUCCUUCGGGACAAUAAUGGGGCAGUCAGCGGCGUAAUCUUGGGAAUCUCAGCAGAGCCUGCUGCCAUCUUUCAGGAGUCACAUUGGAUUUGAGAUCUCCCAAGACCCACAAAUACAGGUCCUUCUCCAAAAAUUAGCAUAUUGUGAUAAAGUUCAUUAUUUUCCAUAAUGUACUGAUAAAAAUUAAACUUUCAUAUAUUUUAGAUUCAUUGCACACCAACUGAAAUAUUUCAGGUCUUUUAUUGUUUAAAUACUGAUGCUUUUGGCAUACAGCUCAUGAAAACCAUAAAUUCCUAUCUCAAAAAAAUAGCUUAUUUCAUCUGACCAAUAAAAGUGUUUUUAAUACAAAAAAGUCAAC
rnacentral:lncRNA from 1 species